UACGUAGGGGGCAAGCGUUGUCCGGAAUUAUUGGGCGUAAAGCGCGCGCAGGUGGUUUCUUAAGUCUGAUGUGAAAGCCCACGGCUCAACCGUGGAGGGUCAUUGGAAACUGGGGAACUUGAGUGCAGAAGAGGAAAGUGGAAUUCCAAGUGUAGCGGUGAAAUGCGUAGAGAUUUGGAGGAACACCAGUGGCGAAGGCGACUUUCUGGUCUGUAACUGACACUGAGGCGCGAAAGCGCGGGGAGCAAACAGG
rnacentral:rRNA from 1 species